UUUUCCAUGUACUUUGUUGUCUGCUGGUUAGCAUCAAUUUUGAUUGUCAUAAAAAGGUUAAGGGGAUGUGGCUCCUUCGGGAGUGUUAUAACCCUUGGCGGAAUGUGACGAUUGGGAUUGAGGUUUGCAACGAAUACCUUUAGGGCAGUUCCUUCUGGUCUCUUGUUGACGUUCAGAUGGCGACAGCUUGCUGACGUUGUUUGAAUAGUUGGCGAAUAGAUUGGAAUGUGAAUUAAUUCGUUAAGGAUGUUGACGUAA
rnacentral:rRNA from 1 species